rnacentral:rRNA from 1 species
UUUGGAAGGUUAAAAAACGUAACAAGGUCUCCGUUGGUGAACCAGCGGAGGGAUCAUUACCGAGUUUACAACUCCCAAACCCCUGUGAACAUACCUUAAUGUUGCCUCGGCGGAUCAGCCCGCGCCCCGUAAAACGGGACGGCCCGCCAGAGGACCCAAACUCUAAUGUUUCUUAUUGUAACUUCUGAGUAAAACAAACAAAUAAAUCAAAACUUUCAACAACGGAUCUCUUGGUUCUGGCAUCGAUGAAGAACGCAGCAAAAUGCGAUAAGUAAUGUGAAUUGCAGAAUUCAGUGAAUCAUCGAAUCUUUGAACGCACAUUGCGCCCGCUGGUAUUCCGGCGGGCAUGCCUGUUCGAGCGUCAUUUCAACCCUCAAGCCCCCGGGUUUGGUGUUGGGGAUCGGCUCUGCCCUUCUGGGCGGUGCCGCCCCCGAAAUACAUUGGCGGUCUCGCUGCAGCCUCCAUUGCGUAGUAGCUAACACCUCGCAACUGGAACGCGGCGCGGCCAUGCCGUAAAACCCCAACUUCUGAAUGUGACCUCGGAUCAGGUAGAUGCCCCGG